GGAGUACUGAAAAAACGGCAGUCAUCCUCCUCACAUCUCCCCCGUUCCCCAUUUCUCCCAUCGCCAGCUCCCUCCCUCCACAGCCGGCGGUCCCAGGUUAGGCCACCCCUUCCCUUUGUUACCAUAGCCAGCGCGAGCUUUGCAGCCACUAAUCUUCCUCCCCUUCAUGUCGAAUCUGGCUGCGGAAGUGGCCGAGGAGGCCCUCGAGCUCGGCAUGCUUGCGCCAGCUCUAGGCUCCGUCGAAGGCGUACGCGAAGGCGCGGGACUUGCACGCCUCUCCUCUGCCCUACUCCUUCGAAUCCAGUCGCAGAACUGCUCGAGGAGGCGCUCGAGCUUGGCGUGCUCACCAGCGACGUCGGGCCCCUCCCUCCUCCUGAUGCCCUCACCGUCGCCGCCAUGAGCCUCUCCACCCUCUCCCGCGCGAUUGUCCGGGUCCAGUUGGCCGGAUUAUGUUCCGAUGAUAUGAUCGCAGUGAAUAAUAUGGGUUGCCUAUGUGCUCAUGAAACUAAAAAGUCUUCAAAAGGCAGUCUUCCAAUGAAAUUUGAAAUAUAAAAAACAUGGUAUCAGAAAAGAACGAAUAGGGGAAGAGUCAACAUGGAUGUUGUCCCGGUUUUAUCCCAUCCUGGAGGUAUAAUUUUUUUAUCCGAUUAAUGAUAGCAGCAAAUGUUUGACAUUAUUCAUACUGUUAUGAAAUAAUUUUUUUUGCAUACAACAAUUUUAAAUGUCUUACAGAUUCCAAGAUAAUUUAUCUCCACCAUUCUUUCAUUGUUCCCAAGUUACCUUUCUUAUGCAUUAUUCUCCAUUAGUUCUGAUUUACCUGUGAUCUCACCUCAUUUUGUCAACUACCCGUUUGCCGUAUGUGUGGAGCCCUCAUGGUUGGUCUGUUGGUUUGAGUUAUUUUGUCCCCAAUCUUCGGUCCCAUCAUCCAUUUGCUCGUCCUUCUAAUUUCUUGAUUCGAUUACUGUGUUUAUCUUGGCUACCAUUUCAGCACAAACAUUUACCUGGUGGUGGUCAAAUUGAACAAUGUUAGCAAUCACUCUCUAGCUGACUGAAACUUAACCUCCCUAAAGCAUGAACCAAACCUGCUCUUAGCUGCAAGCUUUGUUGGUCGAGCAAGUGCAAAAAAAACCAUCAACAAAUAAUCUCAUGCUUAAUCCAAUGUUACAUUAAUAAUCUAGCGAGAUCCAAGUAUGGAAGGAAGCAAUUCAAUAUUAUCACAUAUUUCCUUACACUGCACGCCACAGAAGCACAAUCCUAUUUCUUUAUAUUCAUCUUUCCUUUAAUACUUGAAACUGAAACUGAAAUUCCAUGAAUGCUUUGUUCAAGAACAACUAUGAUUGAUCCUUGAGAAAUGUGCAGGUACAUAUGCCAGAACUACACUUACUAUUUCCUAUUACCAUAUCCUUCAUUAAGGAAAAAUUCCCUAAAUAAGCUUGACCUAGCCAAAUGACUAACAAACAUGUAGCCAUGGCCAAUACUGCAUGAAUUAGUCAGGAACUUCAGCACAAACUCAUCUAUUUCAGACUUCUCCUCUGUUCUUCUCUGGACUCUAUAAAUUAAAAUAUCACACAUGCAUAUGCAAAGGCAGUGGAAGCAAAGAGAACUUACAUUGGAAGGAGGCACAACGAAUCCGCAGAACGCUCCAGAAGCAACUGGAAGGCGACGGAGCGGACAACAGCAGCUUGGACCAAUAGAUGACAACGAAAAAAGCAGAGGCCUACAGGAGGCAAAAUGCGGCAAUCAGCGAGCGGGUAAAUCCAAAACAUAGCAAAUAAUGGUGAUGGAGACACCUCAGCCAAACGGUUCCAUGGCAGGUCAACCCGAAGUGCAGCAGCAACAAAGAACCAGCGGAGUUGCAGCAGAAAAGAGAGGCAAAAAUGAAAGCAAGAAGAAACCCAAAUCAGUGAAAAGGAAACGGGAUACUAAAAGCUUAGCCUGUUCAAAGCUUUCUGGGUGUGUACAACAUGCAUAUAUUUAGUAAAGUGUAUAUGCACAUAAGCAUGACUACCAACAACAUAUGGGGAUUUGACAAAUGGGGGAUACUACAGCCAUUUUUAAAAUUUGCAUAUCUUCAUGCAUAUACUUGAUAUCCCGACGACACUAUAUUCACACUACUUGAGAAAGUAAAUAGUCAAACGACAUUAAUAGAGAAGUUGUAGAGUUCUACCGUUUCCGCUUUGCAAUCCCAAUAAAACAAUAUAGUUCUUCUGCAAGUAAUUAUAUGACAUGAUGGUCUACAGCUACAAGAAGGUUGGGUGUGUUAGAGUUAUAAUAUAAGUCAUGUACCCCUUUGUAUUUAUCCCGUUGUAUAAGGGGUUUCCUGCA